rnacentral:rRNA from 1 species
CCUACGGGAGGCAGCAGUGGGGAAUAUUGGGCAAUGGGCGCAAGCCUGACCCAGCAACGCCGCGUGAAGGAAGAAGGCUUUCGGGUUGUAACCUUCUUUUGUCAGGGACGAAGCAAGUGACGGUACCUGACGAAUAAGCCACGGCUAACUACGUGCCAGCAGCCGCGGUAAUACGUAGGUGGCAAGCGUUAUCCGGAUUUACGAGGUGUAAAGGGUGUGUAGGCGGGACUGGAAUUCAGAUGUGAAAGCCACGGGGGUAACCCGUGGCUUGCAUUUGACACUGUCGUUCUUGAGUUCUGGAGAGGCAGACGGAAUUCCGAGUGUAGCGGUGAAAUGCGUAGAUAUUAGGAGGAACACCAGUGGCGAAGGCGGUCUGCUGGACAUCAACUGACGCUGAGGCGCGAAAGCGUGGGGAGCAAACAGGAUUAGAUACCCGGGUAGUC